CCAGGUAGGAAGCAUGAACUGCCGCUGGCCUGCCUCGAAUUGCCAGGGACAUCUUUGGGAGAAUUACAUACAAAAUGUUUGCAAAGGGCCCCUCGUAGUGCCUGGCUCAUUGGGCCUGGAUACCACAGAACAACCUUGGACUGACUGGAUUGGAGGCCAGAUGAAAAGAGACAAGGCCAGGAUGAAGAACCUGUGCAAAACCCAGAAGCUGAAGGUCCAAGCAGAGUCCUGGGUCCAAGCUGGUGCAUUAGGUGAUUGAAUGGUGAGAUCAAAUAUGGAAAUAGAAACACAAAAUUAAAAGUCAUCUUGCCAAGCUUCCUGCACCCAGCAAAGAAUUGGUCAUAGAAGAGGGGCGCCUGGAGAACAAGUCCUUAUUGUUCUAGACCUAACUCCCUUCCCUUAUCCAGGGUCGGUUUCUUGGACCCUGAGGGGGCAGAAUUGAACUCAUGGGUCUUCGUGGUACAUACUGCAUUCCUUAUUGCAUCACUCUAUACUUCUUCGGUUUUACCUUUCUUCCCUAUUAGAAUUUGAGCCCCUAGAGGGUAAGGAUUCUUUUCUAUUUUUAUAUUUCUGUCACUGAAUAUAGCACCUUACUCAUAAGCUUUUAAAACAUGUCAAAUGGGGACUCCAGGGCAGCUCUGUUGUUAAGCAACUGACUCAUGAUUUCGCCUGAGGUCAUGAUCUCAUGAGUCAUGGCACUGUGCUGUGAGUCAGGGUCCAUGACCUGCACUGCGUCUGCUGGAGAUUCUCUCCCUCUGCCCCUCCCUCCACUUCUGUACAUGGAUG